rnacentral:rRNA from 1 species
UACGUAGGGGGCAAGCGUUGUCCGGAUUUAUUGGGCGUAAAGAGCGUGUAGGCGGUUAUGCAGGUCCGCUGUGAAAGUCCAGGGCUCAACCCUGGGAUGCCGGUGGAUACUGUCGGGCUCGAGUCCGGAAGAGGCGAGUGGAAUUCCUGGUGUAGCGGUGAAAUGCGCAGAUAUCAGGAGGAACACCAAUGGCGAAGGCAGCUCGCUGGGACGUGACUGACGCUGAGACGCGAAAGCGUGGGGAGCAAACAGG